rnacentral:ncRNA from 1 species
CGGAUGAAAAUAGCCUUAGACGUCCUGAUUUCGUCAGGAGGCCGAAGAAGCAAAGCGGGGUAGUGGCAGUUACCCUGUGGAAACUGACAGGCAAAAGGAAGGUUAUUGGACGAAACUUUGGAGAGAUCACUUUAAUGUGGCGCCUACGAGGAGAUAACCAACUGGCAAAGGGACAGAGG